rnacentral:rRNA from 1 species
GUGUUCAAGUUUUUAAGGGCAUACGGUGGAUGCCUUGGCAUCAGGAGCCGAUGAAGGACGUGGGAGCCUGCGAUAUGCCUCGGGGAGUCGGCAACCAGACUUUGAUCCGGGGAUUUCCGAAUGGGGAAACCUGGCACCCGUCAUGGGGUGUCGCCGCCUGCUGAAUGUAUAGGCAGGUUGGUGGGAACGCGGGGAAGUGAAACAUCUCAGUACCCGCAGGAAGAGAAAACAAUAGUGAUUCCGUGAGUAGUGGUGAGCGAAAGCGGAGGAGCCUAAACCGUGCGCGUGUGAUAGCCGGCAGGCGUUGCGUGUGCGGGGUUGUGGGACCACCCUGGUUCAGCUGCCGCUGAAUCGAGGAGUUAUAAACCGCUGGGAUAGUCGAAUGGCUUGGGAUGGCCGACCGUAGACGGUGAGAGUCCGGUAGACGAAAUUCGAGUGGCUUCUGGGUGUGUUCCCCGAGUAGCACGGGGCCCGUGAAAUCCCCGUGUGAAUCUGCCACGACCACGUGGUAAGGCUGAAUACUUCCUGAUGACCGAUAGCGGACCAGUACCCGUGAGGGAAAGGUGAAAAGUGCCCCGGUGAGGGGUCGUGAAAUAGUACCUGAAACCCGUGUGCCUACAAGCCGUCAGAGCCUCUAGUUACCUGGCUUGGGGCUUUCUGUUGGUGAUGGCGUGCCUUUUGAAGAAUGAGCCUGCAAGUUAUGGUGUGUGGCCAAGGUUAACCGGUGCCGGGUAGCCGUAGCGAAAGCGAGUCUGAAUAGGGCGUUUUUAGUCGCAUGCUGUAGACCCGAAGCGGAGUGAUCUAGCCAUGGGCAGGGUGAAGCGCCGGUAAGACGGUGUGGAGGCCCGAACCCACCAGGGUUGAAAACCUGGGGGAUGACCUGUGGUUAGGGGUGAAAGGCCAAUCAAACUCCGUGAUAGCUGGUUCUCCCCGAAAUGCAUUUAGGUGCAGCGUCGCGUGUUUCUUGCCGGAGGUAGAGCUACUGGAUGGCUGAUGGGCCCUACCAGGUUACUGACGUCAGCCAAACUCCGAAUGCCGGUAAGUGAGAGCGCGGCAGUGAGACUGCGGGGGAUAAGCUUCGUAGUCGAGAGGGAAACAGCCCAGAUCAUCGGCUAAGGCCCCUAAGCGUGUGCUAAGUGGGAAAGGAUGUGGAGUUGCUGUGACAACCAGGAGGUUGGCUUAGAAGCAGCCACCCUUGAAAGAGUGCGUAAUAGCUCACUGGU